rnacentral:lncRNA from 1 species
AAUUUCUUAAAACUUUGGCUCGUGCCAAAAUCAUUCUCAUACUCAGUUAUCAAGGAUACCUUGGCCUAGGGCUAUCCCAACCGAGUCCACCAAGGCUAUUUAAAAAGUCAUGUACGCAUAAAUCAUGUUUUUAUUUUGAAAACAUAGUCGUUCCUUGGCGUUGGUUGAGUUCACCCUCACGUGGUGGUUUGGCGUGAAGUGAACUCUAAAGGUUGUACCUUAGGAGUUACCCUACGCGCCUCCCCAAUCGAGGUAAGAAUAUAACAGGAUUUCGUGCCCCUCUAAUAGGCUGGUCCACAGAACCCGUCCACUGCAGCAAUCUAAACCCACCAUACAAUAAAAUCUCAACCGCAUGACAUGGCAAUUAUAUCACAAUCCAGCCUCUCAAGGCUAAAUACACGGUUCAUAUAUUUCAACACAAAUACUAAUUCAGUCAUUCAUGCCAAUAUUAUCAUAAGCCAUUCAAUUCAAACCAUGAUUUAUAACACAGUAAAUAGUCUCCAAUUACUCCAUUUUCAAAACCAUCAUUCAAUUUCAAGACAAUUUAUAAAGUUAUUUCAUUUAAUCACAUUUUGCUUAUAAAACAUAAAGAUUUACCAUUUAAACUCAUUUUCCAUAAAAUCACAAAAACGAAUUAAAAUUCACUUCAGAUAAUCAAGAUGAUGAUAAGGUUACUCACUAUUUCGAGAGUCGAAUUUCGAGUACUCUGAUUCUUGAUCCUCGGGUACUAUCUUUUUACUUUUGCUAGAAAGCUCACCACCUAGAUAUAAUGCACAAUAAGCCAUCUACUACAUUUGUGCUAAACCGUUGUAAAACCAAUUCAGGCUUUAUACUAAUGCAUGAAAUGGGAUGUGAAAUACUUGGGUAACUAUCUAAAUACGGUGUUCUACACAAAUUCAAUUGGGUACCUAAAUAAGACGGUAUUGGCCUAAUUCGAUCUAUCACCCGAUUAAUUGGCCAAUACGUCCAAUUCAACUCCAAAUAAUUCCAUUUUUCUUCCAAUUCUCCAAAUCACCAAACACAAGUCAAAUAACAUAAAAUUUAGCAAAACCAUCCUUACAUUUCUUCUUGAGAAUUUCGGCCAUGGUGAGUGCAUCAACACUAUGAUUUUUCCUACUUGAUUUUCUCACCAUAAUUCAUCAUUUCCUAACCAAUUCACUUGAAAUAAAAUCAAAUCCACCAUCCACACUCUACAUGGAAAAUUCGGCCAAUGAUGGGUGAUGGGCGAAAAUGAAUUUUUCUUGUUGGCUUUUCAUGCUACACAUCACUAACUAACUAAAAACACUAAAAUACAUUGAAAUCUAACCAAAACAACCAUCAAAAUCUCUCUCUAAGUGUUCAGCCAGCAAGAUACCCAUCAUGAUUUCAUAUGAUUCAACCAUGAAAAAUAAGAAAAAAUGCUUAAGAAAGAGAGAUAUCAAGCUUAAUUGAAAAAUCUUACCUUUUUUUCACUUGUUUCCUUGAAUUUUCACACUUUUCCCUUGAAUUUUUCCAUCUAGGGUUUUGUUCUUCCUUUUCUUCCUUUGUUCUUGCUUUAGCCGGC